AUUGAACGCUGGCGGCAUGCCUUACACAUGCAAGUCGAACGGCAGCACGGGAGCAAUCCUGGUGGCGAGUGGCGAACGGGUGAGUAAUAUAUCGGAACGUGCCCAGUCGUGGGGGAUAACGUAGCGAAAGCUACGCUAAUACCGCAUACGUAUCUAUGGAUGAAAGCGGGGGAUCGCAAGACCUCGCGCGAUUGGAGCGGCCGAUAUCAGAUUAGGUAGUUGGUGAGGUAAAGGCUCACCAAGCCGACGAUCUGUAGCUGGUCUGAGAGGACGACCAGCCACACUGGGACUGAGACACGGCCCAGACUCCUACGGGAGGCAGCAGUGGGGGAAUUUUUGGGACAAUGGGCGCAAGCCUGAUCCAGCAAUGCCGCGUGCAGGAUGAAGGCCUCGGUGU
rnacentral:rRNA from 1 species